AUUGAACGCUGGCGGCAUGCUUUACACAUGCAAGUCGAACGGUAACAGGCCGCAAGUUGCUGACGAGUGGCGGACGGGUGCGUAAUGCAUCGGAACGGGUCCAGUCCUGGUGGAUAACUACUCGCAAGAGUAGCUAAUACCUCAUACGAGCUAUGAUUUAAAGCGGGGGACCGUAAUGCCUCGCGCGAUUGUUGCGGCCCCUUUUAGAUGAGGUAGUUGGUGGGGUAAGGGCUGGCCAAGUCAACGAUUUGUAGCUGGUCUGAGAGUACGAGCGGCCACACUGGAACUGAGACACGGCCCAGACUCCUACGGGAGGCAGCAGUGGGGAAUUUUCGGCAAUGGGCGCAAGCCUGAUCCAGCAAUGCCGCGUGCAGGAUGAAGGCCUUCGGGUUGUAAAACUCUUUUAUAAGGAACGAAAAGGCUCGGGUUAAUCCACGGAGCUAAUGACGGUACCGUAAGAAAAAGCCCCGGCUAACUACGUG
rnacentral:rRNA from 1 species